GACGAACGCUGGCGGCAGGCUUAACACAUGCAAGUCGAGCGCCCCGCAAGGGGAGCGGCAGACGGGUGAGUAACGCGUGGGAAUCUACCGUGCCCUACGGAAUAGCUCCGGGAAACUGGAAUUAAUACCGUAUACGCCCUACGGGGGAAAGAUUUAUCGGGGUAUGAUGAGCCCGCGUUGGAUUAGCUAGUUGGUGGGGUAAAGGCCUACCAAGGCGACGAUCCAUAGCUGGUCUGAGAGGAUGAUCAGCCACAUUGGGACUGAGACACGGCCCAAACUCCUACGGGAGGCAGCAGUGGGGAAUAUUGGACAAUGGGCGAAAGCCUGAUCCAGCCAUGCCGCGUGAGUGAUGAAGGUCUUAGGAUUGUAAAGCUCUUUCACCGGUGAAGAUAAUGACGGUAACCGGAGAAGAAGCCCCGGCUAACUUCGUGCCAGCAGCCGCCGUAACAC
rnacentral:rRNA from 1 species